CAAUGGAGGUGCUGGUUUGGCUACAAGAUAUUCCAUUAUAGUCAGAAGUGAAAGGUCAUGACAUUCAUUUAAUUGUUAAAAUAUACUCUCAUUUUCAAUGACAUGUAUUUUAAAUAAAUAUACUUUAUUAUAAAAAUAAAUCUGAAAUAAUAGGACUAUUCUAAUGUAGCAAGGUCAAAAAAACACAUCUAUUUAGUUUGAAUUAUUAGAAGUAUAUUAAAUUUACAUUUAUAUACACAACACUGUUUUGUUUUGCUCACUAGAAUCAUAAUAUACUUCAUGAUUUUAUUACUUUUUAGUAUGUGGCCAGUUACAUACAUUGUUAGUCAUCCCUAAAGCAUUUACUCAGCAGUUACUGUACAUAGCACUGAAUUUAGUAAUGUAUAAGACAUAGUACUUUCUUUGGGGAAGUAACAAUCUAGAACAACAAAUAAGACAAACAAGUAUGAAAAUGAUAUUAUAAAGUAGUAUGAGAAUGUAUUGAAAUAGGAAUACAGAAAAUAGUGCUAUAAAGUAAAAUAAUGGUUAAUAUUUACUCCAGAAGCUGAAAUCACUAAACUGCAUGAUAGAACUAAAAGGGACCUUAGACACCAUCUAGUCUGACACUUUAAUUUUAUAGCUGAAGAGACCUUUGCUAACAAAUUAAAUGACUUAUCUAAAGCAACAAAUCUCAUAAGUGGCAGAAUGGAACUAGAACUCUGGCAUCUACAGUCUUGGCUCAAUGUAAUUGUAAAAAAAGAUGUGACCUUAGGAGAAGGGAAGAGUUGCAAGGGAAAGGGACUUGAGGUAGGGAAUACAACAGAUUCAAAACACGAUCAGUUUAGUUGCAGCAAAGCAUUUGUGUUGAAAACUGGUAGAACAUAGGAUUGAAGGAACAAGGGUUGAUGUCAUGGAGAACUUGGAAUGCCAGGCUGAGUUUAGACAAUGGGAAUCCCUAGAGGGUUUGGGUAGUGACAUGAUGAAACUGCUUUAUAAUAAGAUUAAUUCUGGGGUAGAACUUAGUGUAGAAAAUGUAGAAGAGUUUUAUCAAAUGAGCUUGAUGUGAACAUGCCAGUGUCAUGAGGAUACCACUGUACAGUCUCCACACUGUAUCUGUGAACAUCAGGAUGAUCUCUACAAAACAGCAAUCAAAAUUUACAUUAACUGACUUAUAAAACAAAAGUUAACAGAAGACUUCUGCAACCCUAUGCAGAUACAACCGUGAUGCUUUUGGAUUCCUUAAGAUGAAGGUUUGGGACCUUAAAACAUUUGUGGUGCUAUCUGAAGGAAUGAGAACACAAAGAAGGAAAGUCUUAAGUGCCAGCUCUGGCAUUAAAACAGCUGCAAAAAUACAAGAACUAUAGUGCCUACUCAUAUUUCCUUUUUUUCUCUGUAAAUAUUCAUAUAUUUUAACUAAUUUUCUCUUUCCUCUCUUACCUUUAUUAUUUUUAUAGGUUAACUAUAUCAUUGAGUCCACAAAUUGUAUAAUACUGAUAUAGGAUAAAUUAAACUAGUGGAAAAAUGAACAUGACCUUGAAAUGGAGCCAGGUGUGGUAACUAAAUCAACUUAGGAUCAUCACCCUUUGGGGAAGAGGAUGAUCACCUUUUUGGCUGUAUAGUGAAGAUUUGCAUUAGGUUAGGCUGGAACAUUUUUUUAAAAAACAGUAAUUAUGGGAAGAAAGGUGUAUACGCAUGCUGGACAGCCAAAUGGGUGGAUUGUAGGGAACAUGUGCCUUUUUUUCUUGGCUGAUGAGCAUUCAAACUCCUAUUUAGAGGAAAUGCCCUUUGUUUUACUGAAAAUAAGAGCUCUACCUCUUCUUACAGAAAGCAAGGGACUCUAGACAUUCUCUUUUCCUAGGAGAGUUAGCCAUUAUUCAAAGCUGAGGAGUUGAGAGUCUGCGUUGGUGACAUAUAGCAAAACCCAAACUAAUGUUCCUGUGGUGUGACCCUGACUGUGUUCUCUAUCCUGACUUCUUUUGUUUUCUGCUCAUUUUCUAAGUCUGAUUCUCCCAUCUUCCUGACAGUUAUGUGAGAUACUAAAUAUUCUUCCAAUAAAUUUCGC
rnacentral:lncRNA from 1 species